GUCUAGCGUAGCAAUACGACGCUGUACAGGUGCUGCAUGGCUGUCGUCAGCUCGUGCCGUGAGGUGUUGGGUUAAGUCCCGGCAACGAGCGCAACCCCUACUGCCAGUUACUAACAGGUGAAGCUGAGGACUCUGGCGGAACUGCCGGUGACAAACCGGAAGAAGGUGGGAUGACGUCAAGUCAUCAUGGCCCUUAUGUCCAGGGCUACACACGUGCUACAAUGGGUGAGACAGAGUGACGCGAAGCCGCGAGGUGGAGCAAAUCGCAGAAAAUCAUCCGUAGUUCGGAUUGGAGUCUGAAACCCGACUCCAUGAAGGUGGAAUCGCUAGUAAUCGCGCAUCAGCAUGGCCGCGGUCGAAUACGUUCCGGGCCUU
rnacentral:rRNA from 1 species